GUCAGGGCCCUACUAAUUAUAGCUGAAAAACGAGGUAAAACAGUAUAGAAUACGGUAAUAUAAUUAAAUGCUAAUAGUAUGAAGUAACACAAGAUAAUAAGAAUAACAACAACUAUAGUAGAGAUAAAAUAAUCACAGAAGAAAUACAGCUCAACACAUAGAUAACAACCGGGGAUCUCCCAGGAUACCUUCCAGUAGUCCCCAAAUGUAAAUAUCCAGUGGAUCUCCCAGGUUUCCUCCCAUAGUCUAGCUCAUAGUGCGCACGGAUCCACUGAAAUCCCGAUCCGUUGUCCCAAAUGUAAAUACACAGUACUGGGGGAAUCUACCGGGUGCAGUCCCGUAGUUCAAAUAUAAUGUGCAGGGGGAUCUACCGGAAUACAAAUCCAUAGUCCCUAAGUAAACAUGCAGGGGGGGAUCUCACGGGAUACCUUCUCAUAGUCCCAAAGUAAACAUGCGGGGGGAUAUCUCGGGAUACCUUCUCGUAGUCCCAAAGUAAACAGACAGCAGCAGCACGGAGAAUAUUCAGUUCAAUCCAAAUAUCAUACCAAGGUAAACAGGUAUUUCUAACCUAGCAUGUUGCACAUAAUUCAAAUAAAGAAAUUUGAGUAAGUAAAGUAAUUAAGUCAAUUAGACAUGCUUCCCUAAGCUAAUAGUAGGCUUAAAUUACAAGUAGUAUAAACAGGAAAGGAAACACAGUUAUAGUUACUUAAUGAAAACAAUAUUUUCAACAAUUAGCACAAGUACACACUCGUCACCUCACAUACAAGGCAUCUCAAAUAUCAACAAUAUCAAAUCCUAAGGGGAGUUCCCCCACACAAGGUGAGGCAAGCCACUUACCUCGAACCGGCUUAAAAAUAUACCCAAAUCCACGCUCUUGCCACGAGUACUCGACUCCAAAUGGCUCAAAUCUAUUCAUAUCAAUUGCAUAAUGUAAAUAUAACUUUUAGUAACUAAUUCCACUAAUUAAUUCGAAGCUAUCACUCAAAAUUAAGAAAAUCGCCCAAAAAGUCCCCCGGGCCCACAUCUCGAAAUCGGGUAAAAAUUACGGAUUAUGAAUCCUCAUUCACUCACGAGUCUAACCAUACCAAAAUUAUCCAAAUCUGAUGUCAAAUCCCCAAUCAAAACUCGAAAAUAGGUCUAAGAAAUUUUUCAAUUUUUUUCCCCAAUUUCUCACCCCAAAUCCGAAAUUAGAUGAUGAAUUCAUGUUUAGAUUAAUGGGUUAUAAGCAAAAAAGAGAUAAGAAUUAUUACCCGCAAACUCCCUCCAAAAUUCUCUCCAAAACUCGUCUUACAGAGCUCCCAAUUCAAUUUUGUGAUAUGAACUCAAAUCCCUCGAUUUUGAACUUUAUGUUCUGUCCAGACGCGUCCUUAAUCGCGAUCGCGGAAACUCCCACGUGAUCGCGAAGAGCAACUUUACUGACACCCAAAUUAACCCUACACAAAUGCGAUAAACACUACGCGAUCGCGAUGUUGCACUGCUCUGCUCUACGCGAUCGCGGUUGACGUUACGCAAUCGCGAAGAGCAAUCUUCCACUCCUCAGCUGCCUCACUUCUUCCUCUUCCCGAACGUGGUGCAGCCCACGCGUUAGCGAUUCAACUUCUGCCUUACUAUGCAUUCGCACUACCUUUCCCGUGAUCACGUAGAAUAAAAAUCCCCUCUGCCUCAUCUAAGCCUUCACGAUCGCAAGCUUCCUCAUGCGAUCGCAAUGAAGAAAAGUCUGCAACAAAUACCACCAAAAAUCUAAUCCUUCUCCAAGUCCAAAAAUAGUCCGUUGAGCUUCAGAAACACACCCGAGGCCUCCGGGACAUCAACCAAACCUGCCAACAAAUCUUAAAACAUCAUUCAAACUUUUUCCAACCUUCGAAACACUCAAAACAACAUCAAAACACCAAUUUAACAUCGGAUUCAAGCCUAAGAACUCUCAAAACUCUCAAAUUACGCUUUCGAUCAAAAAGUCUAUCAAACCUCUUCCGAAUUACUUGAAAUUUUGCAAGCGUAUCGCAUUCAACACUAUGGAGAUACUCCAACUUUCGGAAUUCCAUUUUGACCCCGAUAUCAACAUCUCACCAUCAAACCGGAAUCUUCAAAAAUUCAACUUUCGGCAUUUCAAGCCUAAAAAAGCUACGGACCUCCAAAACAAAAUCCGAACACGCCCCUAAGUCUGAAAUCACCCAACGGAGCUAACGAAACUGACAAAAUUCUAUUUUGAGGUCAUCUUCACACUACUCUGACUAUGGUCCAAAUUUCUUAAGCUUAAUCUCUCCUCUAGGGACUAAGUGUCGCAAAACACUCCGAAACUCAAAACAAAUCAUCUCGGAAAAUCACAACUUUAGAAACAAACAUGGGAAAAAUAGUUAAUAGGGGAUCAGGGCAUUAAUUCUUAAAAUGACUGACCGAGUCGUUACAACAUCAUAAAAAUAAGAUAUAUCAUUAGUAUAUAAAGUACGAGCCUUCUCCCAAACUAAAUAACAUAUCUAGAAUGGACAAAACAAAGGAUUAUAUUGGAACCAAUCGAUCACCAUUUGGCUUCUUAUCUAGCAAAGAUAGGUUUCAGAUCAGGCCAUACACUUUGGUAUAGUACAUAUUCUGAUAAAUAACUCCAAAUACACCUUCAAAGGGUUAACUAUUAAUCGGAAUUGGUGGAACUCCAUUUCAACUCACAUUUUCUAAGCUUACAUAUAUUUCUAGUAUCCUUAUCGCUGUCAUACCUUCUUUUUACCACCCGAGGUGGGAAUAUGAGGGAGUUUUUUCAAUUAAAGUGAUAUAAUUCGUAAUGGGAUUAUUUUAUUUAAAUUCAGAGUCACCACUUGGGAUAAUUUAUGGUGUCCCAAGUCACCGGUUUAUUUAAAUCCCAAAUCGAGGAAAUUUUCGACUUUAUUUAAAAGUCUGCGAACCAGAAAUUCUAAGUAAGGAAUUCUGUAAACCGGGAGAAGGAGUUAGGCAUUCCCAAGUUCUGUGAUUCUACCACAAUCGCUUUAACUAUUAUUAAAUGGCCUAAUUAUUAGAUUUAUUACAUGUUUUAAACCUAUUGGGCAUUUUUAACUUUAUAACUUCUUUUAAUUAUUUUAAACUGCUUUUAGGAUUUAUGGAAUUAUUUUUUGAACAAGUUACGAUUGUCGUACACUUGCCAUUUUGGAACACACCGUAAAUUACGCUACAUGAAAUGCUCCCGCGAUUCGCAAUAUGUUUAUUUUUAUUAAUGUUCGAAGUUAUUACGAUCGGGUCACUUGAAAUGCACACCCAAAUUUGGGAAUUAUGUAUCAUAACUACAUCACGGGAGCCAUACCCGUAGCUAUGAUAAUUUUAUUAUAAACGCGCCUAAAGCAAACUACGAAUUGUUCAAAGUGUUUUCUACACUAGUCAUGAAUGUUCCAAGUAUUUUUUUCACACUAGUUUGGGUAUUGAUGUGAGGACUAUAGAUUAUAGGAUUCAUUUGAGAAUGACACGCCUCAAUUUGUUUCAAAAGAUUGCACUCAACUUAAAGCAAACUACGGAUGUUCAUAAUUUUUUCUUUCUAAGCUACUUCAAGAUUAUUGUAAGGAUAAGUAGUUAUGAAUAAAAAAAUAUUGUGAAUCAUCUGCAAUGUCAUACUAUAACAGAACUCAAAUGACAAUAAAUUUAAUGUUCGACAGCCACUGAAAGCAGCUUUAAGGCACUUUGAUAGUAAGAACACAAUUUGGAACUUGUACAAAUAUUUGCUCGAUGUGGAAAAGGGGAAGAAAGACCAGUACACUGGCUUAAAUCUGCAAAUUUUCUACAACAUUUUAGAUGAAACCUCUUUAUUUCUCAUUCCUUUUUCAUAACUUCCUUUUUCUGGUAGUUCUGAAAUUAGAAGCAAAACCAUAUCUUAACAAUUUUAUGCAGUGUAUAGCCAGAAUAUAAAACGUGACAUUGUCUCUUCCAAAUCAGUAAUUUUAGCUAGUUCAUAAAAAAAACCAAACAAACCAGAACAACACCAUUUUAGCUCAAAAUUCCAGCAACCAAUCCUACUACAACAAGAGCUUAAUAGUGCUCAAAAUAAAUUUAUACUUGCACCCAGAUUUGUGCAUUGGUUCAACACAUAAAAGUAAUUCAAAGCAAAGUCAAAUCUACAAUCAAUCAUUGGAGAACAUUCUCAAACACAUGAAUAAACUACUAUAACUUUAUAACAAUAUAACAUGCUAAAUCAGUGCGUACAUGACUUAAAAGACGAGUUCAUACCUUGGCAGUAGCGAAAGGAGCAUAAAUAAUUAGCGACGAAUCAACAAAAUCAGCGACAAAAAUUAAGCAAAUCCACAGCUCCAAAAGGGCUGUUAGAUACCCAGAACGAAAAGAAAUCGAGCUUUGAAAUCAAUUCUUCUUCAAAUCUCCAUUGAAAAUUCAAGUUUUCUUUCCAUUUUAGCUUCUAAUUUUCUGAUUUGGGAUGCCAUUUUCGAAUCUAAAAAAAUUAUUUAUUUUAUUUUUUAAGAAGAAGAAGAAGUCGUUUAUGUGUGUGUGUGUGUGUGUGUCCCUUUUCAAUUUUUGAGAGAGGAUUUCUCAAAAAUCUUAAGGGGAAGGUGUUGGUUUCAGAAUGGGAGGGGAUCUGAUGUAUUUUUGUCUAGUCGAAUGAGAAGAAAGGAGACAGAGAGAGAAUAUGUGUGUGGCAUUGUCAUGGAGUCAAGAUGGAGCGUUCAUUUCCUUAGUUCCUCUCUUGCGCCGCUACUGAAGGGAAAAUUAGGAAGGUCUUCUAAUGUUAGG
rnacentral:lncRNA from 1 species